UACGUAGGGUGCGAGCGUUAAUCGGAAUUACUGGGCGUAAAGAGCUCGUAGGCGGUCUGUCGCGUCGAUCGUGAAAACUUGGGGCUUAACCCUGAGCUUGCGGUCGAUACGGGCAUGACUGGAGUUCGGCAGGGGAGACUGGAAUUCCUGGUGUAGCGGUGAAAUGCGCAGAUAUCGGGAGGAACACCAAUGGCGAAGGCAGCUCGCUGGGACGGUACUGACGCUGAGACGCGAAAGCGUGGGGAGCAAACAGG
rnacentral:rRNA from 1 species